AAUAGAGCGAGUUACUUUGGGGAGUCCAAUAGAUGGGGGUUGGGGCGAGGAGAAGCGAGCAGAAGAGAUAAAGGUUAUGAUUGAAGGGGGAACCCAUAAGGCAGAGGAGGUGUUAGGGGUUUUAUGGGUAAGGGUGAUGACUUGUGCGUAGAGGUAAAGGGUUAGUGUGGAAGGAGCAGGGAAGUUGAGGGAGAGAAGGCGUAAGCGAAACUAAAUUGAGACACUUAGUUGGAAGUGGUAAAGACAACAGUUUGAAUGGUUUGAGGAAUGUCAUAAUAUGCCAAAAUAAUUUGGUCUACUCAUAGAGUUUAUUUUUGGACUGCCACAUAUGAGGAAGUAAGAACUAUUGAUACUAGUAUUGGUGAUUUAGCAGGACAGAGAGAUGAU
rnacentral:lncRNA from 1 species